GUGUUUCUUUCUGUCUCACUGUCUUUCUCCUUUUUAUCUGGCCCUCCCCUCACUUCACCCGUUUGUUUGUUUGUUUGUUUGUUUCCACCUCUGUCCCUCCCUGGCAAAGGUCCCUGCUGCUCAACUCUCUGCCAGUUUUUAGGAAGUGCUGUUUUGUCAAAAGCCUGCACACGAGACCCCUGUGGGCCAGGACUGACUUCCUCCCCACACAGGGCUGGGCGGGGCAAGCAGGAAGGAGCCUGUUACAGUCAAGGUGACGCAUCCUUGCCGGGCCAGCCCGAGCAGCAGCUGGGUCGGCAAGCGACUGGAGCACGGGUCAAGUUUUCCCCAGAGGCGUCGGAAUGGACCUGUGCCACCCAGAGCCCGCGGAGCUGAGCAGCGGGGAGACGGAAGAGUUACAGAGGAUCAAGUGGCACCGAAAGCAGCUCCUGGAGGACAUCCAGAAGCUGAAGGAUGAGAUCGCAGAUGUGUUUGCCCAAAUCGACUGCUUCGAGAGUGCGGAGGAGAGCCGGAUGGCCCAGAAGGAGAAGGAGCUGUGUAUUGGGCGCAAGAAGUUCAACAUGGACCCCGCCAAGGGUAUCCAGUAUUUCAUUGAGCACAAGCUGCUGACCCCUGACAUCCAGGACAUUGCACGGUUCCUGUAUAAAGGCGAGGGCCUCAACAAGACAGCCAUUGGUACCUACCUGGGGGAGAGGGAUCCCAUCAACCUGCAGGUCCUCCAGGCCUUCGUGGACUGCCACGAGUUCGCCAACCUCAACCUCGUCCAGGCCCUCAGGCAGUUCCUGUGGAGCUUCCGGCUGCCGGGCGAGGCCCAGAAGAUAGACCGGAUGAUGGAGGCCUUUGCCACUCGAUACUGCCUCUGUAACCCAGGCGUCUUCCAGUCCACAGACACCUGCUACGUGUUGUCCUUCUCCAUCAUCAUGCUCAACACCAGCCUCCACAAUCCCAACGUCCGGGACAGGCCGCCUUUCGAGCGCUUCGUGUCCAUGAACCGCGGCAUCAACAAUGGUAGCGACCUGCCCGAGGACCAGCUGCGGAACCUCUUCGACAGCAUCAAGAGUGAGCCAUUCUCCAUCCCUGAGGAUGACGGCAAUGACCUCACUCACACCUUCUUCAACCCAGACCGGGAGGGCUGGCUGCUUAAGCUAGGGGGCCGCGUGAAGACGUGGAAACGGCGCUGGUUCAUCCUGACCGACAACUGCCUCUACUACUUCGAGUUCACCACUGACAAGGAGCCACGGGGAAUUAUACCUCUUGAGAACCUGUCGGUGCAGAAGGUGGACGACCCCAAGAAGCCAUUCUGCCUGGAGCUCUACAACCCUAGCUGCCGAGGCCAGAAAAUCAAGGCCUGCAAGACCGAUGGCGACGGCAGGGUGGUGGAGGGCAAGCACGAAUCGUACCGCAUCUCAGCCACCAGUGCCGAGGAACGUGACCAGUGGAUCGAGUCCAUCCGGUAAGGGGUGCCCAGGUCUGGGGACGGCUUCCCGUCACCUUCCAGAAGGCCCUGCUUCUUUUGGGUCUUGCUUCCUUAUCUGUAAAGGAGGCUAACUCCAAUCUCUCCCUCCUGUUUCUGGCUGGCAAACCCCUUCCACCCGUAUUCCAUGGGUACUUUCUGUGUGCCUGGUACCAGGCCAGGCCCCAGGACAGAGGGAAAGGAGAGACCACCUGCAUGGGGUUGGUGGGAGAAUAGAGCAAAGAGUUGCACAUAAAGUUCUUGCCCCGCCCUUGCCUGGCACAUGGUGAGUGCUCUUGUUGGCAUCACUAUCCAAAGUGGCCUGGGAAGGACCUGGCGGAGGUGGAGGGAAGGGCUUUCCAGAUAAACUUCUAGGUAAAAGGACCCGGACCCGUGUGGGCAACCAGUAGGCGGCCUACCUGCACAGCAUCCCGGAGUCCGAGUGAGGCUAAGCAGUGUGGGAGCUGAAACUGCUGAGCAUGACAAAGCCACAGCCACCGUGAGCCAGCAUCACCCGUGUCCCCUUCUACGACCUGGUCUCUACUCGGAAGAAGAAGAUUGCCAGCAAGCAGUGAGAUUCCUGGAGGUGGCACUGGAGGUGGCACUGGGGGAUGGUCACCCUGAGAGUCCCGUUGCCUGCAGCUCCUGGAGACCCACCUCCCACCCCAGUGCACUCUUUUGGGCCACAGACAUCAUUGCUGUUCCCCGUUACCUCGAGCUGACUCUAGAGGGGAAGGCAGAGCUCAGGAGGGUGGGUGGGAGCUGCAGUGGGCUCAGAGUCCAGCAAUGAGGCCCCCUGGCCUGGGCACCCAGCUGCAGGCCCCUGCCCUACGUGCACUACAGGAAGGGGUGAGGAGAGCAGCCAGAGGAAAACCAGCCCCAGAAUGCUACAACUUCUCUUCUCUCUGGACUUCGGUGUCCUCGGCUCUGAAGGCGCUCUCUGCACUCAGAUGCUGUCAGCCCUCAACGUAGGAGGGGCCAUGGGGUCCCUAAGUGAUUCUUCUCCCUGGCAAGGCUCUUCCUUUUCAGGGAUAUCUCUGCCAACCCCUCCCCUGUCCUCAGGUUGGGCUUGGCCCUCUCUGCCUGAGAGAGCUCAGCACACACACAGCUCAGACCCACGGACAGGACCCCAGGACAGAACCCCGGGAGCACUGCCCUAGGAGCCUGGACCCCACGAGCUCAGUCCCCGCUCUGCCUCUGACUCGCUGUGUGCCCUCUGCCAAGUCAUGCCCAUUCUCUAGUUCUUGCAAAACUGCAGUGUUUGGACUAGAAACGUCUUGGCCCCUGCUAGCCCUGUGCUCCAGCUUCCAGCUGGAGAUGGCAGCCCUUGUUUGCGGAGCCCAGGCUGACUCCGGAUUCAACGUUGCUGGGGAGAGAAGAGCAGUAUAGACUCCACCUUCCAGGAUGUCCAUUUCAGGGAGAGGAGCAGGUGGGACCCUCAAGAAAAUGACGGAGAACAUCCCAGACAGAUGGGACUCAAGCAGGAUGGGUGCUAUAUCCAAGAAGCCAAGAAGAGAGAGUUUCGUGCACUGUGGUUACCAGGAGGGCUGCCUGGAGGCAGUGGCUGAGCCAGAAAGUAACACAGAGCUCAUGCUUGGAGAGAUAGAGUCUUGGCCAUGGCUUUCCUGCGAGACCACUGACGAGCAGUCCCAUGGUGAUAAAGGGCAGCCCGGCGGGUCCCAGCAUCUCGAGACCCUCUGCAGAAGUAUUAUCAGAGUAGAGCUGACUUCCAGUACCCAGGCAGCCAGCUCUGUCUCCAGGGAGGCCUGGCCUGGAGGAGGAGUCCACUAACAGGAAACACGUCUCACCCCCUCACACAGGCCCAGGGGAGCCCCUGGAGGGAAAUUCCUUGGCAGGGGAACAGGAAAUGUGGUCGCCUCUGCCCCACUGCCAGCCUGAGUGGGCAAGGAAGCAGGUGGAUCCCCCAGAAGGAAACGCAGCUCGCGAGGCACCUCUCCUCGUCCCCACCCACCCCCACAUUUGCACACCUUCCACAGGGUCAGGAUGGAGUAGCUGCCUUGCGAGGUGGUGAGACUCCUGUCUCUGGAGGUCUGCAAGCACUGGUAGUGAUAUUGCAGCAGACAAGGUCUGGGUUGGGCGUCAGCAGGAGGAGACCUUGUGGGACAUCUGAGGACAUCCGCAGAUUCUUGUCAGCCUGUGAACUAGGCCCUGCCUCUGUCACCUCAUUGGUCCAUGAAGGAGCAGCCAGGGGUGGUGGAAGGAGCACUGGGCUAGGGGUCAGGGGUCAGAGAUUCUGUCCUGCUCCUGGGAUGCACUGGCUACUCCCUUAGUCUACUCCCUUCCCCUCUCUGGUCCUCGGCUUCCUCCAUCAUGGAGGAGAUGGGAUCAUGGAUUUUCUGGGCAUAAGUGGCUGUUCUGGGAGUCAUUCCAAAGAGAGAAUAAAACUCUUGAUCCAA